UUUCACCUAUUUUGUAUAAUUUAAGAAAACAUUACAAACAAGUUUCACAAAUAUAUAUAUAUAUAUAUAUAAGCAUUAAUCAAACAUCAAAAUAUUAUUUCAAGUAUCCAUAAAAAAACUAUCCAUAAGUUCUAAAUAUCCAAAAACUAUCCAUACAUUCCAAACCAUCUAAAAACUAUAUUUCUAAAAAUAAAAAACUAUCGCUAAGUUCUAAACCGUCCAAAAUGUUCUAAAUCAUCCAAAAAAAUAUUGGAUAUUUCCUCAACGAUGGGAAAUCAACAAUAUUGUUAGAUGGGAAUGUAGAGACCCUAAUGCUUGGUAACUGCACGUGAAACCCUAAACCUUAGGUUAAUAGCAUUUUAGCCCAUAGUUCCAUAAAAGUCUGUAUAAUGGCCCAAUAAAGAAUAAUUUUAAAGCCUAGAACACCACUUUAUAAUUAGAAAUACCCUAACACUUGACUUUUAUUUAUUUUACCUCCUAAUUUCUAAAUUAAUUUAUACAUUUUAUUUUCUUUUUUAGCCUAGUUGCAUAUUUACUAAUUCUUUGAACCUUAAUUAUUUAUUUGAGCAAAUAAAUAGCUAUAAACAUAUUUAUAAAAAAAAUCGUUUUAUUAUGUAUUUUAAUAUUUAUUUGAGCAAAUUAGUAGCAAAUUAGUGGAAAAAUAUCUAGAUAUUUAUAAGUUUGCUUAGGCAUUAAGUUAGAAGAGUAGAUUGGUCUUUUUAACCCAAUUCAUAGCCUAUAAAUUGAGAAGCAUUAACUCAAUUCCACUCUCACGUUUUUAGCAGCCUAGGGAGAGGGUGAGAAAGGGAGAGUGUGAUUAAGGGAAGUAGAGAAGAAGGAAAAAAAAAAAAAGAGAAAAAGAAGAAAAAGUGACUCAAGAAGGUGAGGAAGCAAUUUACGGUAGUGAAGGUUAUCCCGAAGGCAAUCAAGAUGAUUGGAGCCGUGGUUCACUUGAAGAUUUCGACUAGUAGUUUUUUUUUUUUUUCCUAUGCCUUUUGGUUUGACAGUGUUUUGUAAUCCUAUAGUGGAACACAAAUGAAUUAACUAUGGUAUUAAUUUUGCUUAUAUGUGUAUAUUAAGAUGUUUUGGUUA